GGUCAUUACAUCACACGGUAGGUUAUACAGUGUAUGCAUACGCCGUGUGACAGAUCGUAGCCGCUAUGGAGGCACAACCAGUACAGAGGGGAGGCAGCGGUAAUACAGCACCGAAGCCAGAGGAGCUGGCUGAGCGUCGGAAAGAGGCCCAUAGUUGCCUCAAAUCAAUAUCGCAACAUUCCUUCUGGUUUGAUGUGUGGGUCUUCCUGUUGUUUGACCUGGUUCUCUUCAUAUUUGUGUAUUUGCUGCCCUGAGCUGGGAUUACUUGAAAACAUUUUAAAGGAAUUCAACAUCACGUCCCACGCUUUUGCCUCAACUCUUUGCAAAGAUGACUUUCACAUUCCUUGAACCUAUAACCUGAUGUAAAGCUGUUUCUGAGUUGCAGUCCCGUAUUUUCUACAGGACGUUGGAUUAGAAACCGUAGAGAUUGGCUGCUAUCAACAUACGUUAAACCAAAAAUUGUCUCUGAAAUUAUUUCCAAAACAGCGAUUUCCUUAGAUGAAGUCUUUUCACUAACUACGGCACAAAUAUUCACAUACUAAAUGUGACCCGUAAGGAGAAGCUUAACUUAUUAUGUUUUUCAGCUAUUUUUUUUAGCUUCUAAAAUCUUCAUUUGUACAAAUGCAUAUUCCUAAUGAAAUACAUUAAAUUUUUGUAUAUUCUUGCUAAAAUUGUCCUCAAGUAAUUUUAUAUUUGAAAUAUUUAGUUUCUUUUCUAGAUUUGGAAAAAUAUGUCAAACUUCAAAGCUUAAAUAUGGGAAUUGUAAAACAUUUUUUUUUAUCUAUUACUUUUAUUUUAAUAAAAAGCUCUGCUAAAGAUUUCUUAAAGGGACACUCUAGUCAAAAUUUAAAGUUUAAUAAUUCAGAUCGAGCAGGAAAUUUUAAACCACUUUCCAAUUUACUUCCAUUAACAAAAUAUGCCCAGACUUUUUUUUUUUUUUACACUUUUUGAGUCUCCAGCUCCUGAACAUGUGCAAGAAUUCACAGAAUAUAGGUAUAUGCGUUUGUGAUUGGCUGAUUGGUGUCACAUAAUACAGGGGGAAUUGAAAUACACAUAACUGAAAUUCGUCUACUAAUCUAGUAAUUUGAAGUUCAGACUAAGUGCUAUUGCAUUGUCUUUUUAUCAUGCAUUUGUUGAUUAUGCAAAUCUACUGUAUUUACUGGUCCUUUAAUGAAAUCUAAUGAUUUAUGUAUGAAUUUGUUUAACAUCUGUAGUAUAUUGAACAGUUGAUGUAGUAUCUUACUGUAGACACAUUGGGGAUAGACCAAGUUAUCGAGAUGGCUUGACCCAUAUUUAACCAGUCUAUGAUUUUAUACAGCAUAGUUCUAGAACGCUACUUCAUGUUGCAAAUAGAAAUGACUUUGUUGUACAAAGUAGGAUUGGUUAGUUAUAAAUCCUACAAUGUUAAAAUAAAAGACCAAGAUGAAGAGA